CGCCUGCCGGCGACCGGCGCACGGGUGAGUAACACGUAUGCGACCUGCCCCCGCCAGGGGGAGUAACCGGGAGAAAUCCCGACUAAUACCGCGUAACGCCGCGGACCUGCAUGGGUCUGCGGCCAAAGGAAGCGAUUCCGGCGGGGGAUGGGCAUGCGGCGCAUUAGCUAGUCGGCGGGGUAACGGCCCACCGAGGCGACGAUGCGUAGGGGUUCUGAGAGGAAGGUCCCCCACAUUGGAACUGAGACACGGUCCAAACUCCUACGGAAGGCAGCAG
rnacentral:rRNA from 1 species